GCUUUCACCAAACCUAGCCGCCCCCCUAAAGUUGUGUGUUAUAAUUAAAUAUUACACGCAAUGCAACUGAAGUAUAGCAAAGUUAUGCAGCUUCUUUCUGCACUGCGGCCGGGCAAAGUUUUCCCUCAAAUUAUGCAGUUAAUGAAACAAACUCCUGAGUGAAAUACAUAUCGCGUGGGCACCACGUCGAGCUGAAACUGGAUACGCUACGCAGCAGCUGCAUAUUUCACAUGUAAUUUGGCUGGAAACGAACUUAUCUAAAAUACUCUCGAAGUGACGGCGGCGCAUACGGUCCUUGCAAUUGGUGCAUUUCAAGAGAUACGUGUAGAGCGAAGAAGCUAUCAAAAUCUUUGCAGGCAACAUACAUCUGUUUAAAGUAAGGAACUUUUGGGUGUAUUUAGAUUAACUGCGAAAAGGGAUUUCCAGCCACAUAGUCCACAUAAAUCCUUCACGUUUAGUUAACGACCUUUAAAUAAGAGGAAUAAAAUCUGAUCUGUGAGAAACCAUCGCAUACUAUGCUCUUUGUGCCUUGGUCAAUCCCAUGCUUGAUUCUGCGUAAUAUUACGAACCGGCAAAGGCGUAAUCUCGGAGCUUUGAUGCAUAUCGCUCGUGGUGGUGCGUCAGCUUUUGUGAUUUCGGGCUGAGUCAUGGGAGCUUGGCACAGUGUGUUGACGGGAAAGCACCCAACCAUGGCUUUCGAAAAUUCGAAAUUUCUGGCAGAAAAGUUAGCGGGAACGAAAUCAGCUUAUUGCACAAGGGCCCGUCUGUCAGAACUGAGUGCGAAUUAUAAUAUUAACUGGAAUUUCACACUUAAGCUAACGUGCGCGGGCAUCUGAUGGAAUUUGUGGAACAUAACGAAUUUAAUCAAAUGGGUUAUUUCUGAUGCGUAAAGCGCAUUUUUUUAAUAACACAAAUUGGCAUCAAAUAUGUAUUAUUAUCUUAUUAAUUAUGACAUAAACAAUUAUAUUUAAUGCGAUGAUACAUUUAAAAGAGCAUUUCAAAUUCCCCAUUAUAUGACUAAAUACGUGUCUUUUGUGUAUUCCGCUUCUUUGUUGUUGUUGUUGUUGUUGUGGUUGUUUUAUGACAUUUUUUACGUAUAUCCGGUGACGUUGCAAACCUGCUGGCUAAAAUCCAAAAGUAAAAAAUCCAGUUCUGUAUUCGGCAGUGUGCGAACUGGAGACACCCUUUACCCAGCCAUACGAGAGCCUACCUAGGAAAUUUGGUGUCUCUAGCGCUGAUGAGCUCCAUGAUAUGUCCCAAAAAAUGUAAAUCGGAAACCGAUUUUUAUCGAUUUUGUGAAAACAGACCUUGAUCUGUGUGGGCAAAAGUAAAAGAUGCCUGCAUAAACCCAUAAUACCCUUUUUUGCGCCCAUUUUCUAUGUUAC